AGGACGCAUUUUUUUUAAUAAAAAAAUAUAAUAAGAUGUUCAAAUGUUGGAACAGAAUCCAUUUAUUAAAUCAAAUUUACAAGAUAAAAUUUUGAAAGCGUUAUGCUCAGCUCUGUUCGUGUAACGCACUGUAGGAACUGAAUAAUUCAUUUAAGGAUGUAAUCCCCUCUAAUGAUAACUGGAUCAGUGUCGCGAAAGUUAAGACAACCCCUACAUUUUCUACCAUCAUUUGAUCUUCUUCAGACUAGCGAAUGCAAGUGUCGAGAUACCGGCAAGCACUUAAAGGGAUUCAAGUGCAAUACUGACAUCCUAAGACAAGCACAAGCUGCGCCGUGAAGAAGGCAAGAGAAGCAAAAAAACGUAGAGGAAGUCCGGCCAGAUUCGUUCCUGGAACUGUUGCGGCGUCGGUUGUGGAAAUCCUGUCAAAGCCAUAAGGACUGGCCUAGGUGAGGAUCGAAUACCAUUGUCCUUUUCCAGUCGAUAUGGAUUAGCCUUCUUUACAGAAGGCGGAAUACCAUCUUCCGGCCAGAUUCGUUCCUGGAACUGUUGCGGCGUCGGUGGUGGAAAUCCUGUCACUGCCGUAAGGACUGGCCUAAGUGAGGAUCGAAUACCGUUGUCGUUUUCCAGUCGAUAUGGAUUAGCCUUCUUUACAGAAGGCAGAA